rnacentral:rRNA from 1 species
GAUGAACGCUGGCGGCGUGCCUAAUACAUGCAAGUCGAGCGAACGGACGAGAAGCUUGCUUCUUUGAUGUUAGCGGCGGACGGGUGAGUAACACGUGGAUAACCUACCUAUAAGACUGGGAUAACUUCGGGAAACCGUAGCUAAUACCGGAUAAUAUUUUGAACCGUAUGGUUCAAUGGUGAAAUACGGUCUUGCUGUCACUUAUAGAUGGAUCCGCGCUGCAUUAGCUAGUUGGUAAGGUAACGGCUUACCAAGGCAACGAUGCAUAGCCGACGUGAGAGAGGGGUCGCCCACACUGGAACGGAGACAGGGACAAUACGACUACGGGAGGCAGCAGAAGGGAAUCUUACGCAAUAGGGGAAAACCUGACGGAGCAACGGCGCGUGAGUGAUGGAAGUCUUGGGAUCGUAAAACUCUGUUUUUAGGGAAGAACCUAUGUGUAAGUAACUGUGCACAGCUUGACGGUAACUAAUCAGAAAGCAACGGCUAACUACGUG